rnacentral:rRNA from 1 species
AACGAACGCUGGGGCAUGCCUAACACAUGCAAGUCGAACGAGACCUUCGGGUCUAGUGGCGCACGGGUGCGUAACGCGUGGGAACCUGCCCUUAGGUUCGGAAUAACUCCCCGAAAGGGGUGCUAAUACCGGAUAAUGUCUUCGGACCAAAGAUUUAUCGCCUUUGGAUGGGCCCGCGUUGGAUUAGCUAGUUGGUAGGGUAAAAGCCUACCAAGGCGACGAUCCAUAGCUGGUCUGAGAGGAUGAUCAGCCACACUGGGACUGAGACACGGCCCAGACUCCUACGGGAGGCAGCAGUGGGGAAUAUUGGACAAUGGGCGAAAGCCUGAUCCAGCAAUGCCGCGUGAGUGAUGAAGGCCUUAGGGUUGUAAAGCUCUUUUACCCGGGAUGAUAAUGACAGUACCGGGAGAAUAAGCUCCGGCUAACUCCGUG